AGUGAACGCUGGCGGUAGGCCUAACACAUGCAAGUCGAACGGCAGCACAGUAAGAGCUUGCUCUUACGGGUGGCGAGUGGCGGACGGGUGAGGAAUACAUCGGAAUCUACUUUUUCGUGGGGGAUAACGUAGGGAAACUUACGCUAAUACCGCAUACGACCUACGGGUGAAAGCAGGGGAUCUUCGGACCUUGCGCGAUUGAAUGAGCCGAUGUCGGAUUAGCUAGUUGGCGGGGUAAAGGCCCACCAAGGCGACGAUCCGUAGCUGGUCUGAGAGGAUGAUCAGCCACACUGGAACUGAGACACGGUCCAGACUCCUACGGGAGGCAGCAGUGGGGAAUAUUGGACAAUGGGCGCAAGCCUGAUCCAGCCAUACCGCGUGGGUGAAGAAGGCCUUCGGGUUGUAAAGCCCUUUUGUUGGGAAAGAAAAGCAGUAGGUUAAUACCCCGCUGUUCUGUCGGUACCCAAAGAAUAAGCACCGGCUAACUUCGUG
rnacentral:rRNA from 1 species